rnacentral:rRNA from 1 species
CCUACGGGUGGCAGCAGUGAGGAAUAUUGGUCAAUGGACGAGAGUCUGAACCAGCCAAGUCGCGUGAAGGAUGACUGCCCUAUGGGUUGUAAACUUCUUUUAUAUGGGAAUAAAAUGUUCCACGUGUGGGGUUUUGUAUGUACCAUAUGAAUAAGGAUCGGCUAACUCCGUGCCAGCAGCCGCGGUAAUACGGAGGAUCCGAGCGUUUUCCGGAUUUCUGGGGUUUAAAGGGAGCGUAGGUGGAUUGUUAAGUCAGUUGUGAAAGUUUGCGGCUCAACCGUAAAAUUGCAGUUGAAACUGGCAGUCUUGAGUACAGUAGAGGUGGGCGGAAUUCGUGGUGUAGCGGUGGAAUGCUUAGAUAUCACGAAGAACGCCGAUUGCGAAGGCAGCUCACUGGACUGCAACUGACACUGAGGCUCGAAAGUGUGGGUAUCAAACAGGAUUAGAUACCCCUGUAGUC